rnacentral:rRNA from 1 species
UGGGGAAUUUUGGACAAUGGGCGAAAGCCUGAUCCAGCAAUGCCGCGUGUGUGAAGAAGGCCUUCGGGUUGUAAAGCACUUUUGUCCGGAAAGAAAUCCUUGGCUCUAAUACAGUCGGGGGAUGACGGUACCGGAAGAAUAAGCACCGGCUAACUACGUGCCAGCAGCCGCGGUAAUACGUAGGGUGCAAGCGUUAAUCGGAAUUACUGGGCGUAAAGCGUGCGCAGGCGGUUUGCUAAGACCGAUGUGAAAUCCCCGGGCUCAACCUGGGAACUGCAUUGGUGACUGGCAGGCUAGAGUAUGGCAGAGGGGGGUAGAAUUCCACGUGUAGCAGUGAAAUGCGUAGAGAUGUGGAGGAAUACCGAUGGCGAAGGCAGCCCCCUGGGCCAAUACUGACGCUCAUGCACGAAAGCGUGGGGAGCAAAACAGGAUUAGAUACCCUGGUAGUCCACGCCCUAAAACGAUGUCAACUAGUUGUUGGGGAUUCAUUUCCUUAGUAACGUAGCUAACGCGUGAAGUUGACCGCCUGGGGAGUACGGUCGCAAGAUUAAAACUCAAAGGAAUUG